AACCUACUGCCUCAGUCUACGUUAUCAUAUGAAGGGAUCUGAUAUUGGGAGUCUCAAGAUCAAGACAAAAAACGCAACCAACAGUCCAGCACUUCUCAGAGAAAUAUCUGGCCAUCAAGGCAGAUUUUGGCAAAAACUGAUCGGUCUAAACAUGCAUCUGAAUAAAGAUACAAAGAUCUUAAUCGAAGCCGUAAGGGGCACAAGUUACGAGGGUGAUAUAGUCAUAGAUCACGUGACAUUGUGGCCUACGGAGUGUCCGUAAUCUGAUUGGUGGAAGAAGUUAGUUCGUGAUUUGCAUCAGCCGUUUCAGCAUAGAAUCAUGUAUCGUUUAAAAUCAUAUUUUUGUAUACAUAUAUUCAUAUCUAUAGGAAUAUAUUUAAGGCAUAUAGCAAAUUCAUCAAUCUAUGAAGGUUGAAAUGUCAAUCUAUUGGUGCUUAUAGACUAAUCUUAAACAGCCCGUCCCAUUCACGAUUGUAUGUUGAGCUAUUGCUGCUGUAUACAUGUGUCUGAGGUUUAAAAUUUGGAAAACAUUGUAGAUAUGAGAACUCCAUUGCAGAACAAUGUAAAUAAAGUAUAUUUUAAUCUGUAUGUAAAGCCAUGUCCCUCGUUUCUUAUGUACAUUACUUUUUAUAUGUUAAUUAAUCUGUAUGUAAAGUCAUGUUCCUCGUUUCUUAUGUACAUUACUUUUUAUAUGUUAAUUAAUCUGUAUGUAAAGUCAUGUCCCUCGUUUCUUAUGUACAUUACUUUUUAUAUGUUAAUUAAUCUGUAAGUAAAGCCAUGUUUCUUGUUUCUUAUGUACAUUACUUUUUAUAUUUUAAUUAAUCUGUAAGUAAAGCCAUGUUUCUCGUUUCUUAUGUACAUUACUUUUUAUGUGUUAAUUAAUCUGUAUGUAAAGCCAUGUCCCUCGUUUCUUAUGUACAUUACUUUUUAAUACGCUGUAAUCUGAAAGCUUGUGUAUAUAAGUUUAAACUCUUGGAAGUGAAACAAGAGGCCCAUGGGCAAUAUCGCUCACCAGAGUAACCUUGGCUCAUAUAAAUUUAAAGAUUUUUCCUAUAUAUUCGCAUGUAAAACUUUGAUCCCUUAUUGUGGCCCCAACCUACUCCCGGGGGGCGAUGAUUUUAUCAAAAUUGAAUCUGGACUAUGUCAGGAAGCUUUCAUGUGAAAGUAAACUUUUUUGACCCAGUGAUUUUUCAGAAGAUUUUCCCAAUAUAUUUGUAUGUAAAACUUUGAUCCCCUAUUGUCGCCUCAUCUUACCCCAGGGGGCCAUGAUUUUAAUUAACUUGAAUCUGCACUAUGUCAGGAAACUUUCAUGUAAAUUUCAACUUUCCUGGUCCAGUACUUUUUGAGAAGAAAAGAAGAUUUUCCCUAUAUAUUUCUAUGUAAAACUUUGAUCCCCUUGUGGCCCCAUUCUGCCCCCUGGGGGCCAUGAUUUUUACAAACAUGAAUCUGCACUAUGUCAGGAAGCUUUCAUGUAAAUCUCAGUUUUUCUGGCUCAGUGGUUCUUGAGAAGAUUGUCCCUAUAUAUUUGUAUGUAAAACUGAGAUCCCUUAUUGUGACCCCAUCCAACUCCCGGGAACCAUGAUUUUAAUAAACUUGAAUCUGCACUAUGUCAGGAAGCUUUCAUGUAAAUUUCAGCUUUUCUGGCCCAGUGGUUCUUAAGAAGAAGUUUUUUAAAUGACCCAACCCUAUUUUUGCAUUUUUGUGAUUAUCUCCCCCUUUAAAGGGUCAUGGCCCUCCAUUUGAACAAACUUGAAAGCCCUUCACCCAAGGAUUCUUUUGGCCAAGUUUGGUUGAAAUUGGCCCUGUGGUUCUGAAGAAGUCGAAAAUGUAAAAAGUGUGCAGAUGGACAUAGGACGGACAACAGGCGAUCAGAAAAGCUCACUUGAGCUUUCAGCUCACGUGAGCUAAACAGAAAAAGGGGAUUCCAAUCUUCAAAUUUACCAUCUACACAGGUCGUGAUCAUUGGAUUAUGUCAUUUCAAAAUUUGUAUUUUGGAUAGUUUAAAUAGCAUUAAAAACCAUACCAUUAGCACACCAUC